rnacentral:lncRNA from 1 species
CGGGAAUUGUCUCCUCUGUUGUUUAUAGUUCCAUUUUGAUAAAUAUUUCAAAACUUUCAACAAUAUGCACUGCUGAGUAUAACGGUUCAUAUUGGUCAGUAAGGACCUUUUGGAGUAAACAAAUAGAAAAAAGAUGUAUAACUUUUGAAAAACAUGUCAUUGAUUAGUUUGGUCACAUGACGUCUGUCCACCAUUUUUAUGCUUAUUAGUUUCUCUUUUGUUCAAUUGCAUUAAAAUCUGAUCAUACUUUCUCCUUACAUACAUAUGUGAUCUUAAAAACCUAUUUAAACCACAAAUUUAUAUGUAAAAACACAUUGUUUUAUUAAAUAAAAGAUAUGC